CUUCAAAACAGGAAUGAAACCAUUGGUCAUGUGAUGCUUGACAGUUUUCAACUCUGGGGAGCACUACACAGCCUGCUGGCUUGUGGCUUUGCAGUGACAGGACAGCACUGCACUUCUGUUUCUGACUUCAUAAUUACCUUUGGACAGGAGGAAACAAGCAUGUUUGUGAAUCUGAUGACAACAAUAAUGGUCCUCUUUGCUGCAGAUGCAGCCGCUUGUCUUUACCCAGCAACAUUCUUCAUUGAUGCACCGAAGAGCUUGGAAGCCUUGGAAGGAACAUGUCUGCAGAUCCCAUGUAAAUUUAGAGGAAACACAGCUCAAACCACAGCCAAUGCUGCUGGAGUGUGGAUAAGAAAGGAUCCCAGAUUUGCCCAAUACCCAGAAAAUGUGGUUUACAACAGCAGCAGGAAGGACAAUAAAUAUUCAAUGACUUUUAUUGGGAACCUGAGUGAGAAAAACUGCACAACAGUUCUACACAACGUUCAAGAGAACUACGCAGACAAUUACUUCUUCAGAGUUGAGGAUGGGCAAUUCACGGCAACAGCUGCUUGUGAUCCUGUUCAAAUAACAGUCAGUGAUUCUGCUUGGAGUCCCAGCAUUGAAAUUCCAGCUGAUCUGAAGGAGGAGGAGUCUGUCACUGUCACCUGCUCAGCUCUCACUCCCUGCCUUCAAUUUCCUCCUGAACUCACCUGGAAUCUUUCAAAAGACCCUCAAAGACAAAUUGAGAAAAACACAAAUGGAAGCUUUACAACUAAAAUCCAGGAGAACAUCACUCUGUCAGACACUCACGAUGGAUUCACCAUCAACUGCUCCAUCAAAUAUCCUGUGAACAAAGGAGAAAAUGUGAAGACAGCAGAGACACAACAAACUCUUAAUGUUUCACGUGCUCCUACGGAGACAUCAUCAUUCUCAAGUUCAUCAGGUUUGGUGUCAAUCACUAAAGGGAUUAUAGGGGCCAUUCUACUCAUCUGUUUGGGUUUUCUCAUCUGGUGGUUUGAGUGUAGACAUUCAUCUUCAAAUCAGAAUCACCCCACCUCACAGGUUGCUGUUGACCAAAAGGAUCACAAAUCCACUCACUGCCCAGAUUGCCCUUCAAGCAAGGACAUCUUCUAGAUAAAACAAAAGAAAAAACAUCAUCAUCAUCAUGAUUGCACACUUUUGCUUCAUUCUGCUUUUUGUUGCUUCUUUACGUGGACAAACAAGCACAAAUGCAUCAACAUCUCCCUUCCCGAAAAAUGCAACGAUAUCUGGACCAAUCACUAAUGCAACGAUAUCUGGACCAAUCACUAAUGCAACGAUAUCUGGACCAAUCACUAAUGCAACGAUAUCUGGACCAAUCACUAAUGCAAAGAUAUCUGGACCAAUCACUAAUGCAACGAUAUCUGGACCAAUCACUAAUGCAACGAUAUCUGGACCAAUCACUAAUGCAACGAUAUCUGGACCAAUCACUAAUGCAACGAUAUCUGGACCAAUCACUAAUGCAACGAUAUCUGGACCAAUCACUAAUGCAACGAUAUCUGGACCAAUCACUAAUGCAACGAUAUCUGGACCAAUCACUAACGCAACAAUAUCUGGACCAAUCACUAACGCAACGAUAUCUGGACCAAUCACUAAUGCAACGAUAUCUGGACCAAUCACUAAUGCAACGAUAUCUGGACCAAUCACUAAUGCAACGAUAUCUGGACCAAUCACUAAUGCAACGAUAUCUGGACCAAUCACUAAUGCAACGAUAUCUGGACCAAUCACUAAUUCAACGAUAUCUGGACCAAUCACUAAUGCAACGAUAUCUGGACCAAUCACUAAUGCAACGAUAUCUGGACCAUCAACUUCUUCUGCAUUUCCUCACAAAAUCAGCCUCUUUUUGGCUUUUGUGGCAACAUCGACACAUUUUUUUUCUGUUUGCCGCUGAUCUAACAUGAUUUAAAGGCAAGGAAAGGACACCAUGGCUCUUUAAUGGUGUUCUUAGUCUGUAUGAUGAAAGCUUGCAAAUGUCUUGCUAAGUUUAAUUCCAAUUGAGUUCUUGACAUUUAUUGAUCCUGGACAUCAAGAGUUCUUCAUGAUCAUCAUUUAUAACAACUAAGACCCCAGAUGUAAUCUUUUUUCUUUAUUUACGAUAUAUAUUUAUUUAUAUUUCUGUGAUUACGGUUGUCUCAACUACUCAAAAACAAUGAACUUUAAUUACUGCUUCUUCUUCAAAAACUGUAAAAUAAUAUGCCAAACUUUUGAAUUAAAAGGGAAACAGGUAAA